CUUGCUAUGAGCUGUUUUAGCGGCGGACGGGUGAGUAACGCGUGGGUAACCUGCCUCAUACAGGGGGAUAACAGUUAGAAAUGACUGCUAAUACCGCAUAAGCGCACAGCUUCGCAUGAAGCAGUGUGAAAAACUCCGGUGGUGUGAGAUGGACCCGCGUCUGAUUAGCUAGUUGGCAGGGCAACGGCCUACCAAGGCGACGAUCAGUAGCCGACCUGAGAGGGUGACCGGCCACAUUGGGACUGAGACACGGCCCAAACUCC
rnacentral:rRNA from 1 species